rnacentral:rRNA from 1 species
UACGUAGGGGGCAAGCGUUGUCCGGAUUUAUUGGGCGUAAAGAGCGUGUAGGCGGCCUGAAAGGUCAGCUGUGAAAACUCGAGGCUCAACCUCGAGACGCCGGCGGAAACCAUCAGGCUAGAGUCCGGAAGAGGAGAGUGGAAUUCCUGGUGUAGCGGUGAAAUGCGCAGAUAUCAGGAAGAACACCCGUGGCUAAGGCGGCUCUCUAGUACGGUACUGACGCUGAGACGCGAAAGCGUGGGGAGCGAACAGG